GAUGAACGCUGGCGGCGUGCUUAACACAUGCAAGUCGAACGGUGAAGGCGGAGCUUGCUCUGCUGGAUCAGUGGCGAACGGGUGAGUAACACGUGAGCUAUCUGCCCCUGACUCUGGGAUAAGCGCUGGAAACGGCGUCUAAUACUGGAUACGAGCUGCGAAGGCAUCUUCAGCAGCUGGAAAGAACUUCGGUCAGGGAUGAGCUCGCGGCCUAUCAGCUUGUUGGUGAGGUAACGGCUCACCAAGGCGUCGACGGGUAGCCGGUCUGAGAGGGUGACCGGCCACACUGGGACUGAGACACGGCCCAGACUCCUACGGGAGGCAGCAGUGGGGAAUAUUGCACAAUGGGCGAAAGCCUGAUGCAGCAACGCCGCGUGAGGGACGACGGCCUUCGGGUUGUAAACCUCUUUUAGCAGGGAAGAAGCGAAAGUGACGGUACCUGCAGAAAAAGCGCCGGCUAACUACGUG
rnacentral:rRNA from 1 species